CGCACCCCCCCCUCCACACACAAACCGGAAGCUACGCCUCUGCAAGGAGCCAACAAUGGAGAACACGUGCGACAGAGGAGUUUGUGUGCCCUUCCUGCCCGAAAUUAGUGAGUGGGGAGAGGCAAUUGUAAGCAACUAGUUUGGGCAGGAUUGCAGACGGCGGCAGCCUCUGUGAGUCCAGCACCCAAUAGACACUGACACGGCACGAGAUUGAGAUAUAGCUAAGGAUAGCCCAUUCUUUCUUUCACGCACAUUUAAAAUCUCCCCCAACCAGCGCUGGUUGGUGAGAUCGGAAGCUACUUCUCGUUCCAGCGUACACCGCGGCCGCGCGGUGUUUGCAAGACAAAAAAACAAAACUCUGCAUGUGCAAGCCUCAACAAUGAUUUUCUCAGCCCUUGAAGCUAUGGCUAUGACCUGGACUUUGUGCAAGGCAGAGGGAAAUUUGUUCCCCACCCUGCCAAUUCCUUCACAAUCACUGCAAGUUCUCAGUCCUCCCAUCACUUUUAGCACACCAUGAUGCAGCUGGUAAAGUUCUUUGUGGUUUAAAAGAAGGAUAAAAAGACUCAAAGGGAGAGAGAGAAAGAAAAGGAGGAUACAAAAGGAACUUGGGAA